AAAAUUUCGUGUUUCAGUGGAAAAGAAUACCGGGACAGAACCCGAGGAGUCGAGUCAAGGCCAACAGGCGACUCGUUUGAGAUACAGAGACUAGAGGAGCAGCAGACUGAGCUGCUGAAGUGUGUGAAGUCAUCAGCUUGAAGCCUUCGGGUAUAAUUUAUACCCUAACUGUAAAUACUUCUUUUGAUGUAUAUAUUGCACAUAAAUGUAUGGACAUGUAAAAAUGGGUCUUGAGCAGCUUGUACACAAAUUUGUAUGAAGUUUGUAAUAAAGUUUAGUUUAUGUUUC